GUGACCACAAUGGAGCAUUCCAUGAGGGAGUCAAAUUGACCACCAUGUCCGCCCGCGAGGCCGCCGUUUAGUUUGAAAUUUAAGACCAAAGCAAAAACGGGACAGACGGACUAUAGUAGUUUUGGAGAACUGUAGCAGCAGGAAAAGUUAACGGUGAAACUUAAGCAGGAAUGCUGAAUGCACGCUGCCACACACUGGAGCCAGCAGUGGAUGAUACCGACAGCAUCCCUUCUUUCCCCGUCCCGAGCGUGCGGCCUGACCCAACUGCUGCGUAGCGAAAAAUGAUGCACGCCUCGCGCCGCUGGGCAAAAUGUUGGCUCAUUAUCCAGAUGCCUGCUGGGAGGCUUGUCAGGUAGACCAAAGGCGUUUUAAAAACUAUCACAAACAAAAACGUAGUGUGAAAAUGAGGUUUAUAGAGCAAAUUGUGUCCCAAAUUAUUAAGCCAUGUGAUUUAAUAGAUCCAAAUGCGUUUUCACUGUAUUUGGAAAAGAGAAAAGUCUGCAAAUCUUUGUUGGUUAUGAACAAUUAAAAGCGAAAACUGUUGGAAAAGUACAAGUUUGACGAGAACAGAAAUUGAUUUUUACGGUUUGUGAAAAAUCCCAGAUGACAGCUUCCACUAUAUUUUUAGUUAGUAAACUGUGAUUUUGUACGCCGCUAGUCUUUUUACACAAUAUUAUCAUGUUUGCUAACAGGGUUCAGCCUUAAACAACGUUAUCCUCUAAUUAGAAAAUCUUUUAAAUCUAAAUAAAAUUUAGUUUUGUUUUAGAAAAAAAAAACCCACAUAAAGCUGCUAUGUCUGGGAUCAACGUAAAUAAGUUAUCAGUUAAAAAAAAGUUCUUGUUUUUGUGUUGAUUCAAGAGCUGCUGUGGCUCUCGUUUACCUUCAUCUGAUGUUUUUUUGUUUUUUUUCUGAGUGUGUGUGUGUCUACAAGGUGAAUUAUGUCAAAAAGAUAACAACUGAUUACUUUCUGUGAAUCAUAGUUGGCUGCUUUUGCAAGGACUGAUGCCUGAAGGCACAAUUAUCCAGACUUUCGUGGGUAAUUCUCAGAGUCAGGGUUUGAAGGCACAAUCAAUGAAAAACCUAAAUAAAAGAUUCUGUACUUGAGGGCAAAUUCCAUGUUUUUAUCAGAACAAGCCCCUAAAAACAGCUGCUUUUUUUUCUCUGGUUUUGUGAGCAGAAAUUGCAGAUAACAACGGCAAAUAUUUUAUUUCAAAUAUACUGGUGGAGACUAAAAUCCCAACUUCCACCAGCUUUACUUUGGACCCAGUGGGUUUACAACCCCAGCGCCCCCGAGAAAGCCCAGCUGCCGCAGUCAGCUAGCAUGAAAUAUUGGAGGAAAAGUUUAGCUCAUCACUGGAAUGUUUCCAGCUUGUGAUGAUGUAUUUGAACCAAGCCCUGUUGACAUUCAUCCAUGUACAUUUUGGACUGAUAAAUACUUUGGGACUGUUACUAUAGGUAUUAAAACAAAGUUCACAAAAUGUCCUGAAGUAGUCACAAAAGUUUAAGUUUUCCAAUUAUGAGUGACAGGACACUGGAGAAUUGUUGUGAUCUGCUGCUGGACGGCACCUUUUCCAUCACCUUCAGUCACUUUGCUCACCUGGCAGGUGUGGGCCAAUAAUCCUGGUUUGUACCUGCUAGGGAUAUAAGCCAGAGGAACCUUAAACAAAGAAGCAGAGCAGGAGGUUGAGUGGGAGCAGAGUGUUGGUUAGAAAAAUGUCUGCUAUCAGUGAUGUGCAGUCAGGAGAGGUAGGUGAGGCUGUGCCUCACCUGUCAUUAUGGUAAGAAAA